rnacentral:tRNA from 1 species
GCUCCCGUAGCUCAGUUGGAUUAGAGCGGCCGCCUCCUAAGCGGCAGGCCGUAAGUUCGAAUCUCACCGGGAGCG